rnacentral:rRNA from 1 species
AUACAGAGGGUGCGAGCGUUAAUCGGAAUUACUGGGCGUAAAGCGCGCGUAGGCGGCUUGGUCAGUCGGAUGUGAAAGCCCCGGGCUCAACCUGGGAAUUGCAUUCGAUACUGCCAGGCUAGAGUAUGGUAGAGGGAAGUGGAAUUCCGGGUGUAGCGGUGAAAUGCGUAGAUAUCCGGAGGAACACCAGUGGCGAAGGCGGCUUCCUGGACCAAUACUGACGCUGAGGUGCGAAAGCGUGGGGAGCAAACAGGAUUAGAAACCCUAGUAGUCC